rnacentral:miRNA from 14 species
AAGGAGGAUCUCUGGAGUUCCCAGAAGCCACAAAUGAUGAAUCCUUUGACGGGCGGGCAGAAUCUCUGUGCUGAUUGUCAUGUUCUGAUCUGGCUUUGGGAGUUCUAGAGGCCUACUUGUAAUAG